CUGGGAUUACAAGCAUGAGCCACCGCGCCUGGCCUCAUGUUUGAGAUUUUAAAGAGAUCACCACACCCAGCUUAGAAGAUUCCCCAUCCUUCUCUACUCCAGGGGAGAACUUGGGUCCGAUUCUUGGUCAAAGUAAACAGGCAGAAAGGAUUUCUGAUCUCAGCUAUCAUUGCUGCCUACACCCUGGCAACUCCCAUCCACAGACCACUGCACUUUGGACAGUUCUUCCUAAAGUCAUGUUAUUUUAAAAUUUAAUUGUGUUUGAGCACAAGGGUGUUGGCAAUAGGGGCGCCCAUAGUUAAUUAGUAACAGAGAGCAGUAGAUAAAACAGAUGCUUCCAGCUUGGCCGGACACUAGUCAGCCUUCUGUUCUCCCUAAAGAGGGCCCUGAAACAUGAGUACUCAAUGCACUUAUGUCUUGGCUGACUUUUCAUCCCAAGAAGCUAGACCCCAGUGUCACUCUUCCCUUCUCCAUUCAGCCAAUGGCUUGAUACCUUGAGUGGAUCUGACAAUGUAAUGCUCACUACUCCCACCCCAGCUGGUAUCAAACAUUCAGACCAGAUGUGAGCUCCACUGGGCUUGAUAAUAGCUCCUAGACUCAUUCACUCUUUUCUUCAUUCAAAAUGUUGAAUGAGCUGGGUGCAGUGGUUCACACCUAUAAUCCCAGCACUUUGGGAGGUCAAGGCAGGCAGAUUGCUUGAGCCCAGGAGUUUGAGACUAGCCUGGGCAACAUGGGGAAACCCUGUCUCUAUUUUUAAAAAGGCCAGGCACAGUGGUUUGUGCCUGUAAUCCCAGCACUUUGGGAGGUUGAGGCAGGAGGAUCACUUGAGCUCAGAAGUUCAAGACCAAUCUGGGCAAUGUGGCAAGACCCUGUCUCUUAAAAAGAAUUGGCUGGGCGCGGUGGCUCACGCCUGUAAUCCCAGCACUUUGGGAGGCCGAGGCAGGCGGACUACGAGGUCAGGAGAUCGAGACCAUCCUGGCUAACAUGGU
rnacentral:lncRNA from 1 species